rnacentral:rRNA from 1 species
UACGAAGGGGGCUAGCGUUGCUCGGAAUCACUGGGCGUAAAGGGUGCGUAGGCGGGUCUUUAAGUCAGGGGUGAAAUCCUGGAGCUCAACUCCAGAACUGCCUUUGAUACUGAGGAUCUUGAGUUCGGGAGAGGUGAGUGGAACUGCGAGUGUAGAGGUGAAAUUCGUAGAUAUUCGCAAGAACACCAGUGGCGAAGGCGGCUCACUGGCCCGAU